UUAUUCACAAGCUUCUGGUCUCGUCCUGUGCAGCACAGUCAGGACACAGCAUGGACAUGAGGGUCCCCACUCACAUUCUGGGCCUCUUGGUGCUCUGGAUAUCAGGUGCCAGAUGUGACAUCCAGUUGACACAGCCUGCAUCUGCAUCUCCAUCUGUGGGAGACACAGUCAAGAUCAGUUGCCGGGCCAGUCAGAGUGUUAGCAGUUACUUAAACUGGUAUCAGCAGAAACCAGGGCAAGCUCCUAAACUCCUGAUCUAUCGUGCCACCAAUUUGCAGUCUGGGGUCCCAUCAAGGUUCAGUGGCAGUGGUUCUGGGACAGAUUUCACUCUCACCAUCAGCAGCCUGCAGCCGGAAGUCUUUGCAGUUUAUUACUGUCAGCAGGACCAGAGUUGGCCUCCCAGAGUGAUACAAGCCAUGACAUAAACCUCCCAGGUCAGCAGAAGUGUGGGGUAGGGGUGCUGCAGUUGUUCCUCUUUGUGUCUCCAGCUGCAGACCAAGUUCUGAAAUGCAUCUAGACUUUGAAGGUCCCUGGAAGGAUUUGGUAGAAGUAUCCAUGGAAGCUCCUCCCUCCGCUAACUUCCUUUUCUGUUUCUCACCCCUGAUUUAAUGAAAGACCCUGAUUUAAUGAAAUAAUAUGGAUUACACCAUCAUUUUGAAUUCACUUGGCAGCAGUGAAACUCUUCUUUGAGUUCCAAGCAAUAAUUUUAAAAAUCUUUUAUCACUGUUACACAUUUAUUAAUUAAUUUUAUUUUUUAUUUUAAAGAGACUAAAACUAAAGUACAGCCAAAUAAUUUUAAGCAAAACAGUACAGU